AAAAGAAAGAAAAAGAAAGUUGUCCUCUGACCUCCACAAGUGAGCUGAGGGCCUCUACACAUCCACACACGUGGAGACACAUAUACAUUCAAUCAAUCUGAAUAUAUGUUAAUACAGCUAGCCUACAUUUCUCCUUUUCUCCCAAAACCACUAAUAGUAUUAUGAAGGUUCCACUUCUGUGACCUCGCCAAAUCCAGAUUACAUCCUCAAGACUCCCACAUCCAAAUGUCACUCAUUUAAUACUCCAGAGACUGAAUUUCCAGCACAUCCGAAGGACAUCUGCAAACUAGCAAUGCUGACAUUUACAAUGUUUGAGUUGUGGUCAACAGGAACAAACUGAGAAACGACGGCAUGCAUUUUCCCAGGUUCUUCAAGUUGUUUUAGCAAAUUGCCAAGCAAAAGAAAAGACUAGGGUGAGUCCCUUGCUUGUAGAGAAAAUGUGACUAUUCUGAGAGCCUACUGCUUGUGGCUGGUGUCUGAGAUAAAGGGGGAAAGAAGGCAGUCUUGUGGGACUGAGCACUUGACCUUUGGAGUCAACACUAACCUGAUUAGUGUCAGAACUGAAGUGAACUGUUCUAUGCCCAGCUGAUACUGAAGAAGUGGAUGGGGCAGGAGUAAAUCUCACGUAUUUAGCAGUCAGAGGUAUAAUAUUUGAGAACAUAA
rnacentral:sRNA from 1 species